UACGUAGGGUGCAAGCGUUAAUCGGAAUUACUGGGCGUAAAGCGUGCGCAGACGGUUAUGUAAGACAGAUGUGAAAUGCCCGGGCUUAACCUGGGAACUGCAUUUGUGACUGCAUGGCUAGAGUUUGGCAGAGGGGGGUAGAAUUCCACGUGUAGCAGUGAAAUGCGUAGAUAUGUGGAGGAACACCGGGUGGCGAAGGCGGCAUCCUGGACCGGCAUUGACGCUGAGGAGCGAAAGCCAGGGGAAGCAA
rnacentral:rRNA from 1 species